GAGGGUAUAGCUCAAGUGGCAGAGUGCAUGCUUAGCAUGCACGAGGGGUCCUGGGUUCAAUCCCCAGUACCUCCU
rnacentral:tRNA from 1 species